UGACACAAGCCCAAGGUUCUUGGGCCGGCUGGCCUUCUGCCGCUCGAGGGGAGCCUUACCAGAGAACUUGCAAGGUGCACUGCGGCUUUGCCAGUCCGGCGGCGAGCGCCUCCAGCCCGUCGUCACGCAAGUCGUUGUAGGCGAGAUCCAGCUCCCUCAGGCUGCCGGGCGAGCUUAGAACGGAGGCCAGCGCCUCGCAGCUUUUCUUGCUCAGCUGGCAGCCCCUGAGCCUGAGAAGACAAGAGGGUUUGGGCUGCUGACAUGUGCGCGGCCGGUUCAGCGUGCUGGCUCGACGGCACCUACACUGAUUUUUGAGAAGCCUUGACCACCGGCAGCAGCAUCAGGAGCCCCUUCUCGGACGGAGCGUAUUUCUGGAGUUCGAAGCAGCUCAUGGCUUCGUCGGAAGCCCGCAAGAAGAAGACCAGGGCCGACCACAUGGCCGGAGGUAGGUCCUCCGGGUUGGACCGGAG